AGCCAUGGAUAUGGUGUUAGUUUCUCUUAAUUGCCUUUUGUACUAAAAAAUUGUUUAAUUAGGUCACACUGGAAAUUUGUCUAUGAUGGAUAAAAAUCUAGCUGAUGUUUUAAGUAGACACUGUCAUACAUAAACUUUUAUCACCAGUACCAGCUACUUAUAAGGACACAGAGCAGGCAUUGCAAGAACAAUCACACUGCUUUAAUUA
rnacentral:lncRNA from 1 species